rnacentral:rRNA from 1 species
GACGAACGCGGGAGGCGUGCUUAACACAUGCAAGUCGAACGGUGAAGCGCCUUCCUUUUUGGUGGGUGUGGAUGAGUGGCGAACGGGUGAGUAACACGUGAGUAACCUGCCCCCUUCUUCUGGAUAACCGCAUGAAAGUGUGGCUAAUACGGGAUAUUCUGGGUCUGUCGCAUGAUGGGUCUGGGAAAGAUAUUGUUUCGGUGGGGGAUGGGCUCGCGGCCUAUCAGCUUGUUGGUGGGGUGAUGGCCUACCAAGGCGGUGACGGGUAGCCGGCCUGAGAGGGUGGACGGUCACACUGGGACUGAGACACGGCCCAGACUCCUACGGGAGGCAGCAGUGGGGAAUAUUGCACAAUGGGCGCAAGCCUGAUGCAGCGACGCCGCGUGAGGGAUGGAGGCCUUCGGGUUGUGAACCUCUUUCGCCAGUGAAGCAGGCCUGCCUCGUUUGUGGGUGGGUUGACGGUAGCUGGAUAAGAAGCGCCGGCUAACUACGUG